GUUCGAGCUAGUGCAAUUGCUCAGGAUGCUGAUCAGAACUACGACUAUGCCAGUAACAGUGUGGUUCUUCAUUUGGAGCCAGGAGAUGAAGUUUACAUUAAAUUAGAUGGAGGAAAAGCACAUGGAGGAAACAACAAUAAAUACAGCACAUUUUCUGGAUUUAUUAUUUAUGCUGACUGAUAACGAGUAAAAAGACCCACCAAAUCAACCCAAAAAUGAAGCUUGCUCUUCUGGGCAAUGGAUUUGCGUGGCAAAAGUCAAUGAAUCAAGCACCCCAGCGGAGAUCAACCACAGAACACCUCAGUAGCGGGGAAAAAAAAUCAAAUGCUACCUGAUUCACAUCUGUACAACACGGAGAAACCUUAUGUUAAAAAAUUACAAAGCAAGUUAAACAGAUGUGUGAUCCACUACCGCCAAAGCAAAUACAUUUAUUGUUAGUGUCCAUGUGAAUGAAGUCCUACAUAGAUCAAAUUUUUAUAGAAGAAAAAAAAAAACGAAAGACACUGAGUUAUUUCUUCAGUGUAUAUGAUACUUCAGUGUGUUAUGAUCUUGCUGCUUUAUCCAUACAUCAGCUUUGGUUCUUGUGACUUACUUGCUAACAAUGAUGCUUGGAGUCCACUCAGUGUGGUGAGGAAUGAUUUUACAAUAAAAGGAAGAGUCUCAAGGAAGCUUAAUCCAUAUAAAGGAUUAAUGACUUGGAGCAUUGAACUAAAGACAGGUAAUAUGAGUUACAUAGUUAUAAAAAUACUUUAGAAUCAGUCAUAGAAGUAAUAUCCACAGAAUAUUUAUAUUCUGAAAAAAGAAUUAUUAUUUGUUUUGUUUUUGGGAGGGGAGGCUGUCUAUUUCUCUCAGGUUAAAAUUUGCAGAUUUCAAUCCAAAACAAAAUAUUAGCAAGAUAAUUAACUAGCUUCCUAGCAUAGCUGGGUAUGUUAAUUAUUUUUAACAUUUUGGCAAGAUCAAGGUAAUAUCUGUACAAACUGUUAAAGAGUAAUAGAUGCUAUCCCUAGCAUUUCCAUUUCAUAUAAUUUGCGAGAAGCAACUUUGUCUACUCUACUAAGUAAAGGGUUCAAACUCAGAUUUAUCUGCAUUAAAAUGUCAAGAGUGUCUGCCAUUGUGACAAAAAAAAAAAGCUCUUCUGUGCUGACUGCUCAGUAGAAGUUUGGUGAAGAUUUUAAGAACCUCUCUAAAAAAAAAUCUCUUGUUUAAAUGAGUGAAGCUUUUCUUAAACAGAACACGUUAUUCUUUCUGUUUGUGUUUUGGAUAGUUGUCCAAUUCAAAAUAUAUGCCUAAGUUAGUCUAUGUUCACUAAGAGGAUUGCCAGUCUAGCUCAUCUAGAUUUUAUAAAGGGACAUUGUGCUUCAUAUUGCUUGUGUAUUAUGUCAUCAGACUGGUUAAGCUUUCACUCUACGACAAAGUGCCAACCUAUAUCUGUUCAUUGUAGUGGUUACUCCUGUUUUUUUUUUCUACUACGUAAUGUAUUUUAAUAAUGGUUGUGUAACUGACUUCAUGUCUAUUCAUUCCAUAGUUGCUUUUAUUGGUUAGUGCGCUCACAGCAGUGUAGCUAGAGAUUUUGUAUGUAGUAUCAAACGACAAUGUAUCAAGCUAGAGAUCAUUACAACUAGCAAUGCAUAUUUACUAAGGUAUUUAUUGGAAAAGCUCAUUACUAUAAGACAUACGAGGUUAAAUUUGAAGAAGCUUUUGAAAUCAGACUGCCAUUGCUACUGCAAAAGACCUUUUAUUUGGAUAAAUCACU
rnacentral:lncRNA from 1 species